rnacentral:rRNA from 1 species
UUGCAGUUAAAAAGCUCGUAGUUGGAUUUCUGGCGGGAGCGACCGGUCCGCCCCUCACGGGGUGUGUACUGAGUCGCCUUCGGCCAUCCUUGCGGAAAGCGGCUCGCGCAUUAAGUUGUGCGGGUCGGGCUCCGCAUCGUUUACUGUGAAAAAAUUAGAGUGUUUAAAGCAGGCGUUUGCUGUGAAUACAUUAGCAUGGAAUAAUAAGAUAGGACUUUGGUGCUAUUUUGUUGGUUUGUACACCGAGGUAAUGAUUAAUAGGGACAGUUGGGGGUAUUCGUAUUUAAUUGUCAGAGGUGAAAUUCUUGGAUUUAUGAAAGACGAACUACUGCGAAAGCAUUUACCAAGGAUGUUUUCAUUAAUCAAGAACGAAAGUUAGGGGAUCGAAGAUGAUUAGAUUCCAUCGUAGUCUUAACCCAUAAACUAUGCCCGACUUGGGAUCGGCGGACGUUAACUUUAUGACUCGUCGCCC